AAUAUAUAGAAAAGUAUAAAUUAUUAAAAAAGGAAGAAAAAUUCAAUAUAGGUAUUUGUUCCCAUUAAAAACUUCACACUAUAUCUCAUCAUUGGAAUUGUUGCGUUUAUUUUAUAAAAACAUCAGCUAAAAUUCUAUUUGAUGUUGCCAGUCUCAAGUUGACCUGUGAAUGGUAACUCAUCCAAUAACUAAACAGAAUCGUUCAAAAGUAACAUGCUCUCUUUAUUUAAUCAAGCUGAGUCGAUGAUCGUCGCACGACGUUUGAUCAACAUGCGAGGGUAGCAAGCGUGAGUGCAAGCGUUUACAGCCGCUGUCCAUGAAAUCUAUUUUAUAUUGCAUUGCAGAUCAGGAUCGUUACUAGAUUAUUCAUGAUUCGUGGAACCCUGCCGGACAUCGUGCACAUGUUCAGUUUCUGGACGCGUACACGCAUCGCACGAUUAAUUUGCGCCUGAUGUAUGACAUCCAAAGAAAGAACUCUCAGUUGUAAUCGUUCGUACACGUUUCUACUUUAGACAAUACUAUAUGAGCGACAAAACAUCAUGAUCUUUUUAACCACUGUGUGUAUACCUUGGGAUAGACGACUAUUAUCGUCAAUUAAUUAUUAUUUUUUAUUAGUUUUAUAGUUUAUUAAUAUCAAAGUCAUUAUUUUUAGAACAUACUGAUUGUAUGUUCUAGAUAAUAUCGUAUAAAUUGGUCAUAACUAGUUGUCUGUGAUUAAUCUUGUUAGAGUAUCUCCAAUAAAUUAAGUUUAUUUUGAUGGAAACAAUGGACAUAUCUGAAAUUGGAACACGUAUCUGGUAAUUGCGAAUAUGUCAUCGCUCCUAUUAUAUGAUCAAUUUAUCUAAAACAGUUAUCAAAUAUUUCGCAGGUCAUUAAGUAUCGACCCAAACUACUCGAUAUGAACGAAACACAGUUCUUAAUCGGAAGUUUUCAUAGAAAUCGGUCCAUAAUAUUAUAAUCACUCAUGUUCCUUACGAAACUCUCUAUUUACGAAUUUUUAUAUUCUUCAAACAAUUUUUAUAUUUCUUGAAAUGUACUCACGAAUGAAGAACGAACCAAUGCAUCUCUCAACUCCAAGAACUAAAAAAAGGCUCAAAAUGACCAACAAAACUUGUGAAAGUGCAACAUUAGCGAAGAAGAAAUCGACUAAAGACUUCCUCCUAGUAUGAUCACGCCGCUUCUUCCAACUCUGAAACGUAACGUUCCACCUUCUAGAAUUCCAUUCGCGAGAACGCUUUUCCCCUGAAAUCGUUCGCGCUAAUUACCGAGUAAUGUAGCCCUUGCAUUGUAUCUAGGAACAACAAUGGACUCGUUUCAGCUAACCAUAACGAUGUCGAGCCAUUUGCAGCGUUGCCCAUUAGAGCCAAUCAGAGAGCACCGCGUUGCGUAAUCCCGUCGAAUACGAUAUGUAUGUACGUCCUCCAACUGCCAUGAUCCGUCGCAACCCUCUCCUGGUUACACACGUCCUAUAUUACCACCCUACCGAUCGGUCUCUCGUUCCUCGUUCGAGCGAAUCUCCGAUCGAAUACAUUCGCGGAGACCGAUAGCACUCUGCCUGUCCGUGAGCGUUGCUGACCGCCCUCUCGAUUACGAGGAUCGUAUUAAUCAUUACCUUCGAAACGUAUCGACCUAGAUCGUUCGACGUUUGCGCGGCUGAACCGCGAUUGCUCGCCUCUCCCCCUCCGGACCGACUCGAUCGCGGUAUGUUUAAUGCCCCUUUAUGCGCCAAGGUGUUCUGACGCUUCGAUAACCGCACCAACACUCACGCGUUGUUCCCUUUUGAAGGGAUAUAUCGUAGCUUCAUAGCGCUCGCACGAUGAACAAUGAGAGAGAACGUUGAUGGAUAGUAAUUGGUGCGUGAUUUAGUAUUCCCAUGUGUUGGCAUUUCCAGAGCAAAUUUCGAAAGGGUACACAUGGGACAGGUAUUUUUGACAAAGCGUGAAUUUCGAAACCGUAAAUUGUGUGACAGCGAGCGAUUUAUUGGAGCGAGAGAAAGAGAGAGGGAUGUCAAAAAUAAGCGAUAGGGGAUGGCGUGUGACGGUGAAACGUGGUUCCGCGAACGAGACCGGAGGAUUCGCGUUAUAUUUCGCAAUGGCGUACAAUGGCGGCCGCUAUAAAGAAAAAUAGUGGCCGAAAUAUUCGACGAGAGAGCUUCCCGUGCCAACGUCCGAUCGAUUUACUAGCAUUUACACAAAUAAUUGGUGAUUGUUGCUUCGCACGGCAAAAAUGUUGAGUUAAAUAAACGAUAUUGUAAGCACGAGCCUUCGUUAUUUGAUUAAUCGAAUCGUUCAAUCGGAUGAUGCAAGAUUAACCGGAUAAUCGGUUACACCGAUGCUGUACAAUUAAAUAACGAAAAUGAAUUUCGGCACAGGCUCGAAACAAUUCUUCGAAUUCUGGCUAUUUGCACAUGUUUAACCAUAUACAUUCAUUUAUAGUAUACAUAUAUAAAUAUA